UACGUAGGGGGCUAGCGUUGUCCGGAAUCAUUGGGCGUAAAGAGCGUGUAGGCGGCUCGGUAAGUCCGCUGUGAAAGUCCAGGGCUCAACCCUGGAAUGCCGGUGGAAACUGUCGAGCUAGAGUCCGGAAGAGGCGAGUGGAAUUCCUGGUGUAGCGGUGAAAUGCGCAGAUAUCAGGAGGAACACCAAUUGCGAAGGCAGCUCGCUGGGACGUUACUGACGCUGAGACGCGAAAGCGUGGGGAGCAAACAGG
rnacentral:rRNA from 1 species